rnacentral:rRNA from 1 species
UUCUCUAAGAUUACUUACUUAGAGUAUUACCUGCUCAAUGAGAAAUAAAUAGCCGCAGUACUACUGUGCUAAGGUAGCAUAAUAAUUUGCCUUUCAAUUGGAGGAUAGAAUGAACGGUUAAACACUUAAAUCCUCUUUCUUCUAAUCCUAGUUAACCUAAGAAAGAAGUAAAAACUCUUUUACAACAAGGCGGGACGACAAGACCCUGAUAAACUCAAUCAUUUAGUUGGGGAAACAAAAAAAUAAAUAUUUACCUCAAAUAAAACACAAAUCCUUAAAAUAAGAUAAAGACUAGUUACUACAGGGAUAACAGCGCAAUUUCUUUCUAGAGCCCACAUCCAAAAAGAAGAUUACGACCUCGAUGUUGAAUUAACUUACCUAAUUGAAGCAACACUCAGUACAGGCAGUCUGUUCGACUAUUAAACAGUU